CCUACGGGAGGCAGCAGUGAGGAAUAUUGGUCAAUGGGCGGGAGCCUGAACCAGCCAAGUCGCGUGAGGGAAGACGGUCCUACGGAUUGUAAACCUCUUUUGCCGGGGAGCAACGGGGUCCUUGCGAGGGCCCGAUGAGAGUACCCGGAGAAAAAGCAUCGGCUAACUCCGUGCCAGCAGCCGCGGUAAUACGGAGGAUGCGAGCGUUAUCCGGAUUUAUUGGGUUUAAAGGGAGCGUAGAUGGGUUGUUAAGUCAGUUGUGAAAGUUUGCGGCUCAACCGUAAAAUUGCAAUUGAUACUGGCAGCCUUGAGUACAGUUGAGGUAGGCGGAAUUCGUGGUGUAGCGGUGAAAUGCUUAGAUAUCACGAAGAACUCCGAUUGCGAAGGCAGCCUACUAAACUGCCACUGACAUUGAUGCUCGAAAGUGUGGGUAUCAAACAGGAUUAGAUACCCGGGUAGUC
rnacentral:rRNA from 1 species